GUUUACGAAAAUUUCAAGCAAAGUUGGUUGACUCGUUUGUCACAUGAAAAGCUCGCUAACGCCAUCGUCAGCAGCAACGGACUUUAAAGAUGGCGGACGGAGGGGGCGAGAAGCAAUUAACCUACACCCAAGACAAUGUGUCCGUACGCAUGCUCAGUUCACGUGGUGAGGAGACGAUAUCCGGGAAGCUGGAAAUCACAAAGGAGAAGCACGGACAUGUCGUGACGUGGUUGGCAUACCCGCCGCCUUCGGCGGCCAAGGAGCAGCCGCAGCGCUACGACGAGGACUCCGCCGGUGUCUGGGAGGACCUGACAGCUGACAGCCCCGUUGCGUACCAUGUGGGGGGCAAAGACAAUUGCCAGUCGCCUGACUCCGUGAAGAUCAAGAAGGAGAACGGGACCUCCGCAGGUGACUCGCCCUCGCCUGUGCCGCACACCACCGUGUCGUUCGAGGUGACCGACCUCACCUCGUACCGGUGCCGCCAGGUUGCCGACACGCACGAGCUCACGCUGAACCUGAGCGACGGCACGCGCCUCCCCACCUUCAUUUUCAUCGAGCGUCGUUACGAGCACUUCAUCCGUGCCCUGCACGAACACAUCUCCUUCAAAAGGUCACGGAAGGACCCGCUCCUCUAUUUGGUUCAGAUGCCAACUGUCGAGGCACUGCACAAGUCGUUUGACCAGCUGGACCUGUAUCCGGAGUCGUCUUCACGGUACGACGUCAUCCGGAAGUUCUUGGUGAAUCCAACCUGGGACGCAACGUGGGACGGCUUUGCCAAGGUGGCGAACUAUGUCACUGGUGCCGCCGCAGGGUUGCCCGGCGAGGACUACAGACUCGGUUACGAGUACUUUGGCGAGCAGCAGCCUGACAGUCUGACUGGUCUUGAGAUUAGUGACCACAGCGAAGAGCCUGGCUUUGAGGUGGUCGUCAGGACCCUGCCCAAGCGGACCGAGGUGAAGCGUGGCAGUCCACUUUGUCACGAGGAGUGGGCCAUGGCACAUGGUCCGGAAGGACGAAUCCUUAAUGAGGGUACCCUCAGGGAGCGCAUCUUUCGUGGGGGCAUUGCCUCUGACCUGAGGCGGGAGGUGUGGCCUUUCCUGCUCGGGUACUACUCCUUCGACUCGACCUACAAGGAACGGGAGGCCCUCCGGAAGAAACUCAAGGACUACUAUUACCGAAUGAAGCUUCAAUGGAAGUCCAUCAGCGAUGACCAGGAAUCGCGAUUUGCCGACUUCAGGGAAAGGAAGAACCUCGUUGAGAAAGAUGUGAGCCGGACUGACCGGACGCACAUCUUCUACCAGGGUGAAAACAAUGCCAAGAUAGAGAUGCUCAACGACAUCCUCAUGACCUAUGUCAUGUACAACUUUGACUUGGGCUACGUCCAGGGCAUGAGUGAUCUGCUGUCGCCUAUUCUGAUGGUAGUGGACAACGAGGAGGACGCCUUCUGGUGUUUUGUGGGCUUCAUCAAACGAGUGAUGUCCAACUUUGAUAUUGACCAGAGUGGCAUGAAGAAGCAGUUGGCACAGCUCUACGACAUCCUUGCUGUGGCUGUUCCUAAGCUGGCCAUUUACCUUGAGGAGCAUGAGUCUGGCAACCUGUACUUCUGCUUCCGCUGGCUCCUGGUUCUCUUCAAGCGCGAGUUCAAGUGCGAGGAGAUCAUGAGGCUGUGGGAGGUGUUGUGGACAGACCUGCCCUGCAAGAACUUCCACCUGCUUCUUUGUGUGGCCAUCCUGGACCAUGAGAAGGACUUGCUCAUUGAGAAUAACUAUGGGCUCAAUGAGAUUCUGAAGCAUGUCAACGACAUGUGCUAUCGGAUAGAUCUGGAGCUUAUCCUUUCCACGGCGGAGGCGAUUGUAGAACAGCUGAAGGGGUCCACGAAGCUUCCCGAAUCGGUUCAAGAGGCGCUGGGCAUACGCAUUGCCAAUGGUGCUUCGUCCGUUGACACCGGUGGCGUGGCUGCCAAUGGCGACGUCAACCUUUGCGGCGAGAAGGACGCGCCAACCUCUCCGGCGAGCCUGCACGAAGGCCAGCGGACGUGCAGCACCAGUUCGGUGGAGGUGCUCUCGGACGGUGACGUAGAGGCGAGGUACGAGCGCCACCUGCAGUUCUCCCUUUGAACUACCACUUUCGGAGCGUAGCGGGAAUGCCCCAGCUGGGCUGGGGAGGGAGGCUUUCGAAUCUCCUAGCCAAGAGCUCUCCACGAAGACAUACGAGUAGCCAGGAGUGCAGAGUGCAGCCAAUCGUAUGACAGCGACGUACCUCUUUUUCUACAGCGCGCUGAGUCUGCCAGGAAUAGCUUGUGAUAUUGCCCUCAGAAACGUUUAUUGUGGCCCAGGAUGUGUGCUGCGGACACUGUGUAGUUUCUGGCCUCAAGUACCAUCAAGACAUCAAACAGUACCACCAGUACUGUUUGCCUUCACUAGCGAAUAAUUUGUGCGCAGGCUUCAGUUAACCAUAUUUGAUUAUAUCACAUGAAGCCAUCUCCAUAGUUAUGCCUGGACCUCAACUUAUGGAAGCUUUAGCAAGCGACAAAGCAAUUUUUAAAUCAGCAAUCUUGUUACGCAUUCAUGCAAGAAAGAAAAAGUUGCUGUGUUUUUGAAUGAGAAUAGUAUGUUGUCUAUUAAACAAUCAAGUUUGUUAAUGUGUAUCUUUGCAUUAGCAAUGUUCACUUAUAGUUUGUUCAAUUUGUCACUUUACCACUAAAAUAUUUUUUUUUUCAAAGUGUAGUUAAGAGAUGUGACUUUGGCAAAUUGCAUUGAUAUGUCAUUAGUUAUCAAUACCGAUAAAGCUUGGCAUUUUCAUGUUCAGGUUCUCAGCGUUAGUUUACAAGCUUCUGCUUUUUGCAGGCAGUCCAUUUGGCACUGCUGUUUGUAAUAAAUAGUGAUGUACAAAGAUGCUACAGUGUACAAUAUCUUGUGUAUUAGUGCAUGUCCUAUUAUCUAUAUUUUGUGGCCUCUAUAUAUAUAUAUAUAUAUAUUAUUUGUACUACCAAACAGCAGGUUCUUUUUGCUAUCUUUGUAUCGCAUUCCCGCAUUUUCUUGUAGCAUUUUUUAGUUGUGUAAUUUACAUAGUGGUGAAGCUUGUGCUUUGUGCUGGGCAUUGUUCUUCCCUGUAAGUUAUUUCAAAGAAAAAAUAUAUUUUACAAGUACUGCUGUGGGCCUCUGUCUACAUGAUCGUUAGUGCCACAGCACAUGGCUGCAAUUGUUUUUGUGUGUGGCUGUGUGAAGGUGGGUACCAUGAAUUAGCAUUGGAGGUUUGAGGCCUGGUCAGAGUGAUACAUGCAACAUCAUGUGCUGUUAAUGUGUUGCUCUUAAACUUGAUUAUGAGAUUCUUGCUUUGUUGGAAUAUUCCGCAGUUCCGAGUCAUUGUACUGUGUGUUAUGCAUUUGUGCACUCCUUCUCAGUCAGCAUUAUUCCAGUAUAUUUUGUUCUUGUCAUAGCGUAGCUAUUCGAUGUGGUUGAUGUUUGUGGCGAACACUUUUGGGUAUGCUACUGUGUCUACUUGCUUUUCUGUGUCUUUGUUUCUAGUUCUCAUUAUUGUAGAAUCGUCGAACAUUUGUAUCUAUCGUUUGUUUUUUAGUAUAUAAUCAAGUGAGCAGUGUAUAAAUCUGUAAGGUAGGGUAAGGUUCAUAAAAGAUAAUCGAGAAGUCAGAAUUUAAGAAAGCUUUUUAUUCAGUCACAAGGCGUAGUUUCUACAAAUUAACUCUAUCGAUCCCUAGCCGUUUUGGCUAGAACAUCAGUUCAUGCAAGAACGUCAGUGUAAUAAAUGCAAGCUGAAGGAAGCGUUUAGCAGAUGCUCUGUAGCUUUGUGCUCAUAUAGUCCUGCGGAUGUUCCAGUAUCCCUUUUAAGGAAUCUUCCAUCUUGAUAAUUUAUACAAGGCACAUGUGUUUAACCAAUGCACCUGUGCUUACAGCUGUCAAUUAAUUCAUCCUUUACUUGCCACCGUCUCCUAGCCUUUUGGUUAGCCCAGUUGGUGAGAUGCAACUAUCCAGCGGCAGUGACGGAAUAAUGACAAAUUUGGCAUCAACUGCGAAGCUUUACUUCUCAGAAACCUACAUGAAUUUACCUUCACAGGAAAUACGGCUUUCCAAUCCAUGUUUUGACAUGUUCAUGCAGGUACAUUGACCAUUUUUGUUUAUCCUCGAUUUGUACACACAAUUUGCUCAUUCAGUAUUGUUAUGUUUGCAGAACCUGUCUGGGAUGCUUCACUUAGAAUUUUGUCUGGAGAUGUUAUAUAAUUUGUGUCCUGUGAGCUGCCAUUGUACCUUGCACCUUAUGCUGUUGAUGACAUGGAGAGCUCUCAUUCUGAGUAGGGGUGUCAGUGACAAAAUGAUAAUUGACAUGAGUAUGACUGCUUGGACAAAACUGGCUUCAAAUGUAAAAUUGACAAUUUUUUUCUUGUUUGUAAGAUAUUGAUGGUAACGUAAUGGUAGCUGAAUAGCAAAACACCACUCAUUAUGCAUGUUCCUCGAAACAGAUCUUGCCAUUAAGACUGGUUGAAGAGGGAUUUUAUUUGGGCUUGUGCAGAAACGACAAAUGCAUGAAACGGCUGUGCGCAGUUCAUAUGACCUUGGCGAUGACAAAAAAUGAAACCCAGCAGUUCUUGAAUACCUAAUGUUAGGUAGGGUUGCUUAUAAUGUGAUUGAAGAUGACACAAUAUCCCUCAAUGAAAAAUUGGUCUGAAAACAUGGUGCAUCAUGUGCACUGACAACAAUAUAAGUGUGUUUAUUUCAGAUUUUAGAAAAAUUAAUUUAAAAAAGAGAAGAAGAAAUGUGGACACUGCAUUAAUAUAGCCUUCUCCAAUCUUACGAAUAAGCUAUCCCAGUAGGCAAGAACAAUAACAACAUAGAGGUACAACAAUUGCAUCCAAAAGCACUCUGUUUUGACAAAAUACCAAUGUAUUAUGUCCAGCAGAAGUGUCCUCAAAGACAGUAAAAGUGGGAGUGUGUUAUGGCACAUGGUAUGUUGAUGUUCAAGCAUUUUGUAAGAGUAUCUCUGGGCUUGUAGAAAUAGCAGUUAGUUUAACAUCGACGUAAGUUGGAACCAUUACAUUUUUGUUUAUGUCGUAAGACUUGCAAGAACCACUAGUAAAAGUUGAAAUGUGUGUCAUAUGCCUAUUUGUAGUAGAGAGCCUACAAGAUCAUAUAGGCUUCUUAAUGGAUGGAUGGACAGAUGCUAUGAGCAUCCCCUUUGGAAGUGGGGGGGGGGGUCGUGCCACCAGGCUCUUAUUGCAUUGCCUAAUGUCCUACCUAUGUAUAGUUAGUAGUAGUGCCGCCUUGUGGUGGCUGGCCUAAGUUACGGUAGAUUAUGCUGAGCAUGGCCUCCAGUGUUAGUCUACGGCACUAUAUGUGUCAUGAAGCAGCGGAAAUGGUACACGUGGGCAACACAUCUGAACACAUGCGUGAAGGGGAUGGCGUACUCAGUUCCUUGAACUUGGAAGGCAGCAAGGAAUCUGGCGGUUUCGCUAAAGCAAACAUUGUCACAUUGUGGAAAGUUAAUCACACACUGUAUGGUUGGACACUUGACUUUCGGCAGUGUGCCCAUGUACCAUGGUAACCUUGUGGGGCUGUACAUGCGGCAAUGAUUUCAAGCCUGUGCCACAACCGCCGUAACAUGUAUGGCCGGUGUAAACUAAUAUUUCAGGUUUACCAUGAACUUUACCAAAAGAAGUGAACUUCCUGCAAAAACAGCCAAUCUGUAACUACAAUGUGGCAGCAGCUUCACACAGUUUUAAAGCCCUUAGAUUCUAAUGUGAGAUUCAUGGCAUCAGUGACAAAGGUCCGACUAAGUCGGUGAUAUAACGUGCGGCGAAAUGUGCUAAAAUGAUAUGCAAACCCAGGUGGUAGGAGCGAUUGCCAUAUUGUUGCUCAGUUGAAAUGCAUUUAUUGUGACACAAAAAGUUAAAACUUAAUUUUUCGUCAGAUUGACGCAUGGCAUGAUUAAGGACACCAAAGAAAAGAGAAAAUGUUCGAACUGGUAGAGCAUUACAUCAAAACAUUAUUGGCAUUCUUUCGAUGGAAAAUGGGCUAAUGAAGAAAUUGGAGGAAAAAAUUCACAUUCCUGAAUUUUUCAUUGGCGGCAGUUAAGGAGGCUGUGUGAAGAUGUUCUGAAGUUGUGAAGCCGCAUUUACAUUUACAUUAAACUCUUUCCAAUAUCCUUCAUUGACAUACAAUUAACUAGCAAUGAGAAAAUGCUGUAAAAUCUGUCACAAGCACUGGUGUGGGAGACGCCUCCACCCGUUUUUUGGUCUUUGGAUACCUUGUCAGAAUGGCUUGUCAACCCUUUGGUUGUGACAGACUGAGUGAGUAAAUGAGUAGUGUAGUCAUUCUCUUUUAACCUGACAUCUCUGUAUUGUGUCAGGUCCUAUGAAAUACUGGUGGGAUUGACCAUAUGUUUUCAUUUUCUGUUGGUGCUGUUUGUCAAGCAUAUCGUACUGGCUGAUGUCUGGUGUCGGGCUGUGUUUUGUACUGUAUGAGAUUCUACAAGGUCAUUGAAAGGCUGUUGCUCGUUCUUGGAAUGUACAUCGUUUUGCCUCCAGAUCAAAGAGCUAUGCAAGAAUGUAUAUUACGCUGUAUAUCGAAAUAAAUGGCAUGUGUAUUCAA